rnacentral:lncRNA from 1 species
GGACAUCUUGGCCCUCACAGAGAACUCGGCUGUGCUGGAACUAAGACAAAAAAAAUAACACUUCCAAAAAGAAACCCAAUUCAACACGACAAGCAGCGUUCAAACAAAAUAGAAAAAUGCACGAAACCCAAGGUCAUAGAAGAAAACAAUUUCCCCUGUCGUCGGAAUCCCUUUUCUGGUGAUCUCUCGAAAACCCAAAGAAUAUCACAUAGCAAAGACCAAAAAAGCGAACUAAACCUGUUGCAAAAACGACUGAAAAGACCUUCCCCAGGCUCGCAAUCAAUACGGAGACACCGCAGAUUAGAAAACAGACCAUGGAAGAGUUCAUAAAACUAACCAGACUCCUUCCCUCACAAAGGAGACUACUGCAGCACAAUCAAAAGGGAUCAAAACGAUCACAAGAAAAUGAACUUCAAUAAUAUAACAACAGAGCGACCAAACUCACACUGCAAGUACCUGGAAAGAGCUCUCGAAGUUUGACAAUGGCGACGAGCUCCUCAGGAAAGGAUAAGGCUGUCAUUUGUACAAAAGAACUUAAGGGCAUUUUGGUCAUUAUUCGUAAUUUCCACUUUAUUUUAAUUUCUAUUAAUUGUAUUUAGGCUUAGUUUUUUAGUAUUUACCUCUGUUUGGUGAGAACUCUAUAUAAACAAGCUCAAGUCAAUUGUAAAAUGGGGAUUACAAUUCAAUAAAGGAGAGGCAUUACGCUUGCUUUUGCUUGUCUUUUCUUCUAAUCCUAGUAUCCCACAAAGAGGAGAGAGAAAACUUUUGCAAGGGAGAGAAAUACCCCCAACUACGCAGGUACACAUCUCUCUUCUCUUGAAGAUAUCUAACAUCCCAAGAGCUUUCUCUCUUCUCCUCCAAACACAUAAUCCCACGCCCGUGCAAAGCCACGCUGGCGCAAACAAAUCAAAGGGCUUCAAGCCACGUGCAGCCGUGUCUAGCCCCCCUUUCUUGGACAAUCCAACCAAACCAACGGAACCCCCCA